rnacentral:rRNA from 1 species
UACGUAGGGUGCAAGCGUUGUCCGGAAUUAUUGGGCGUAAAGAGCUCGUAGGCGGUCUGUCGCGUCUGCUGUGAAAACUCGGGGCUUAACCCCGGGCCUGCAGUGGGUACGGGCAGACUAGAGUGCGGUAGGGGAGACUGGAAUUCCUGAUGUAGCGGUGAAAUGCGCAGAUAUCAGGAGGAACACCGGUGGCGAAGGCGGGUCUCUGGGCCGUAACUGACGCUGAGGAGCGAAAGCGUGGGGAGCGAACAGG